AUUGAACGCUGGCGGCAGGCUUAACACAUGCAAGUCGAGCGGAGAUGAGGUGCUUGCACCUUAUCUUAGCGGCGGACGGGUGAGUAAUGCUUAGGAAUCUGCCUAUUAGUGGGGGACAACAUUCCGAAAGGAAUGCUAAUACCGCAUACGUCCUACGGGAGAAAGCAGGGGAUCUUCGGACCUUGCGCUAAUAGAUGAGCCUAAGUCGGAUUAGCUAGUUGGUGGGGUAAAGGCCUACCAAGGCGACGAUCUGUAGCGGGUCUGAGAGGAUGAUCGGCCACACUGGGACUGAGACACGGCCCAGACUCCUACGGGAGGCAGCAGUGGGGAAUAUUGGACAAUGGGCGGAAGCCUGAUCCAGCCAUGCCGCGUGUGUGAAGAAGGCCUUUUGGUUGUAAAGCACUUUAAGCGAGGAGGAGGCUACCUAGAUUAAUACUCUGGGAUAGUGGACGUUACUCGCAGAAUAAGCACCGGCUAACUCUGUGCCAGCCGCCGCAGUAAGAC
rnacentral:rRNA from 1 species